rnacentral:rRNA from 1 species
CGCGUAACUGACCUACCCCCAAGUCCUGAAUAACUUCUCGAAAGAGAAGCUAAGACGGGAUGCCCAGCCCUCCCUGUGGGGAGGGCGUGGAAAAGGUGACGUCUUGGGGAGUGGGGUUGCGUUCCGAUCAGCUUGGAUGGUGGGGUAAAGGCCUACCAUGGCGACGACGGAUCGCCGGCCUGAGAGGGUGGCCGGCCACAGGGGGCACUGAGACACGGGCCCCCACUCCUACGGGAGGCAGCAGUUAGGAAUCUUCCCCCAAUGGGCGCAAGCCUGAGGGAGCGACGCCGCGUGAGGGAC